AGUAGAUGGGAAGAAUGGCUCCAAA
rnacentral:siRNA from 1 species